rnacentral:rRNA from 1 species
UUUAUGGAGAGUUUGAUCCUGGCUCAGGAUGAACGCUGGCGGCGUGCCUAAUACAUGCAAGUCGAGCGAACAGAUAAGGAGCUUGCUCCUUUGACGUUAGCGGCGGACGGGUGAGUAACACGUGGGUAACCUACCUAUAAGACUGGGAUAACUUCGGGAAACCGGAGCUAAUACUGGAUAAUAUUUCGAACCGCAUGGUUCG